rnacentral:sRNA from 1 species
CUGUGACGAUGCGCUGCCACUAGCCAGGUGAGAUCGACGGUGUCAGCUUCAAUUGCGGUUCUUCUGUGGUAAAAUUUGGAAUCAUGAGAACAGGGAUUGCGGAUGGUUCAAUUUCCAUUCGAAAGGCGACGUGUAUGGCCGGCGGUAAAUGGACUUUCCCCAAGAAGAAAACGAGGACACACGGAACAUUGGCUACAGUCAAGGAGUAGUAAAUUUGUGAUGCUGUUCUCUUUUUUGACAGUCGCGAUGGAUACGGUAGCUUGAAUUUGGGAGGAUCGGACAUUUUAACAGAUGAGGUGGUUGGUCCGGAGAAUACG